rnacentral:rRNA from 1 species
UAGGGAAUCUUCCGCAAUGGGCGAAAGCCUGACGGAGCAACGCCGCGUGAGUGAUGAAGGUCUUCGGAUCGUAAAACUCUGUUAUUAGGGAAGAACAAAUGUGUAAGUAACUAUGCACGUCUUGACGGUACCUAAUCAGAAAGCCACGGCUAACUACGUGCCAGCAGCCGCGGUAAUACGUAGGUGGCAAGCGUUAUCCGGAAUUAUUGGGCGUAAAGCGCGCGUAGGCGGCUUUUUAAGUCUGAUGUGAAAGCCCACGGCUCAACCGUGGAGGGUCAUUGGAAACUGGAAAACUAGAGUGCAGAAGAGGAAAGUGGAAUUCCAUGUGUAGCGGUGAAAUGCGCAGAGAUAUGGAGGAACACCAGUGGCGAAGGCGACUUUCUGGUCUGUAACUGACGCUGAUGUGCGAAAGCGUGGGGAGCAAACAGG